GAUAAACGCUGGCAGCGUGCCUUAUGCAUGCAAGUCGAACGGUUCCGAUUUAUCGGGAUAGUGGCGAACGGGUGAGUAAUGCGUAAGUAACCUACCCUCAAGUAGGGGAUAACUCCGAGAAAUUGGAGCUAAUACCUUAUGUGGUGAUGGAGUUAAUGCUUCAUCACUAAAGCCUUAGGGUGCUUGAGGACGGGCUUGCGUCUGAUUAGUUAGUUGGUAGGGUAAUGGCUUACCAAGGCGAAGAUCGGUAGCUGGUUUGAGAGGAUGGUCAGCCACACUGGGAUUGAGAUACGGCCCAGACUCCUACGGGAGGCAGCAGCAAGGAAUAUUGUGCAAUGGGCGAAAGCCUGACACAGCGACGCUGCGUGGGGGAUGAAGGCCUUCGGGUGUAAACCCCUUUUCUCAGGGAAGAAUAAUGACGGUACCUGAGGAAUAAGUCACGGCUGACUACGUGCCAGCAGCCGCGGUAAUACGUAGGUGGCAAGCGUUAUCCGGAUUUACUGGGUGUAAAGAGGGCGUAGGUGGCUUUUCAAGUCGAAUAUAAAAUCUCCCGGCUUAACUGGGAGGGAUUAUUCGAUACUGUUGGGCUAGAGAGCAGCAGAGGGAGGUGGAAUUCCCGGUGUAGUGGUGAAAUGCGUAGAUAUCGGGAGGAACACCAGUGGCGAAGGCGGCCUCCUGGGCUGUUGCUGACACUGAGGCCCGAAAGCGUGGGGAGCAAACAGGAUUAGAUACCCUGGUAGUCCACGCCAUAAACUAUGGACACUAGGUAUGGGGAGUAUCGACCCUCUCUGUGCCGAAGCAAACGCUUUAAGUGUCCCACCUGAGAACUACGGCCGCAAGGCUA
rnacentral:rRNA from 1 species